CCUACGGGUGGCUGCAGUGGGGAAUAUUGGACAAUGGUGGGAACCCUGAUCCAGCCAUGCCGCGUGUGUGAAGAAGGCCCUCGGGUUGUAAAGCACUUUCAGUGAGGAAGAACGCCUGGUGGUUAAUACCCAUCAGGAAAGACAUCACUCACAGAAGAAGCACCGGCUAACUCCGUGCCAGCAGCCGCGGUAAUACGGAGGGUGCGAGCGUUAAUCGGAAUUACUGGGCGUAAAGCGCGCGUAGGUGGCUUGAUAAGCCGGUUGUGAAAGCCCCGGGCUCAACCUGGGAACGGCAUCCGGAACUGUCAAGCUAGAGUGCAGGAGAGGAAGGUAGAAUUCCCGGUGUAGCGGUGAAAUGCGUAGAGAUCGGGAGGAAUACCAGUGGCGAAGGCGGCAUUCUGGACUGACACUGACACUGAGGUGCGAAAGCGUGGGUAGCAAACAGGAUUAGAUACCCUGGUAGUA
rnacentral:rRNA from 1 species